rnacentral:rRNA from 1 species
GAUGAACGCUGGCGGCGUGCCUAAUACAUGCAAGUCGAGCGAACAGACGAGGAGCUUGCUCCUCUGACGUUAGCGGCGGACGGGGGAGUAACACGUGGAUAACCUACCUAUAAGACUGGGAUAACUUCGGGAAACCGGAGCUAAUACCGGAUAAUAUAUUGAACCGCAUGGUUCAAUAUUGAAAGACGGUUUUGCUGUCACUUAUAGAUGGAUCCGCGCCGCAUUAGCUAGUUGGUAAGGUAACGGCUUACCAAGGCAACGAUGCGUAGCCGACCUGAGAGGGUGAUCGGCCACACUGGAACUGAGACACGGUCCAGACUCCUACGGGAGGCAGCAGUAGGGAAUCUUCCGCAAUGGGCGAAAGCCUGACGGAGCAACGCCGCGUGAGUGAUGAAGGUCUUCGGAUCGUAAAACUCUGUUAUUAGGGAAGAACAAAUGUGUAAGUAACUAUGCACGUCUUGACGGUACCUAAUCAGAAAGCCACGGCUAACUACGUG